GACGAACGCUGGCGGCGUGCCUAAUACAUGCAAGUUGAGCGAUGAAGAUUGGUGCUUGCACCAAUUUGAAGAGCAGCGAACGGGUGAGUAACGCGUGGGGAAUCUGCCUUUGAGCGGGGGACAACAUUUGGAAACGAAUGCUAAUACCGCAUAACAACUUUAAACAUAAGUUUUAAGUUUGAAAGAUGCAAUUGCAUCACUCAAAGAUGAUCCCGCGUUGUAUUAGCUAGUUGGUGAGGUAAAGGCUCACCAAGGCGAUGAUACAUAGCCGACCUGAGAGGGUGGUAGGCCACAUUGGGACUGAGACACGGCCCAAACGCCUACGGGAGGCAGCAGUAGGGAAUCUUCGGCAAUGGACGAAAGUCUGACCGAGCAACGCCGCGUGAGUGAAGAAGGUUUUCGGAUCGUAAAACUCUGUUGGUAGAGAAGAACGUUGGUGAGAGUGGAAAGCUCAUCAAGUGACGGUAACUACCCAGAAAGGGACGGCUAACUACGUG
rnacentral:rRNA from 1 species